rnacentral:misc_RNA from 1 species
AAGUCGUAACAAGGUUUCCGUAGGUGAACCUGCGGAAGGAUCAUUAUCGAGUUAACUAUUGACUUUGAUGCUGGCCGUUUUUUCGGCAUGUGCUCGAGUCUUUAAAAUCCACUCAACCACUGUGCACUAAUUCGAAGCUUUUGCGGGGUUCAGCGCUUCCCUUCCUCUUCGUUGAGGAGGUGGUUUAGAGCUCGGGCUUUUGCGGGGGUUUUCGAGCUUUCAUAUAAACCACAUCUUGUCAUGUCGAAUGUAAUACUUUUAUUAAAAUACAACUUUCAACAACGGAUCUCUUGGCUCUC